GCCCUACUAGAGAAAUGGCUAACUCGUCGGCCUCCUAAUGAUUGUGCUAUCAUUGAAGCCGGAGAUUCUCGGUUCGAGUCCGGGGUAGGGCG